rnacentral:rRNA from 1 species
UACGAAGGGGGCUAGCGUUGCUCGGAAUCACUGGGCGUAAAGGGUGCGUAGGCGGGUUUUUAAGUCAGGGGUGAAAUCCUGGAGCUCAACUCCAGAACUGCCUUUGAUACUGAAGAUCUUGAGUCCGGGAGAGGUGAGUGGAACUGCGAGUGUAGAGGUGAAAUUCGUAGAUAUCGGGAGGAACACCAGUGGCGAAGGCGGCGAUCUGGGAAGAUACUGACGCUGAGGUGCGAAAGCGUGGGGAGCAAACAGG